GAGAGAGGACAGGAAGACAUGUAGAGGACAAUAAGGUAGAUGAGGACAGGAAGACAUGUAGAGGACAAUAAGAGAAGAGGACAGGAAGACUUGUAGAGGACAAUAAGAGAGAGGACAGGAAGACUUGUAGAGGACAAUAAGAGAGAGGACAGGAAGACAUGUAGAGGACAAUAAGAGAGAGGACAGGAAGACAUGUAGAGGACAAUAAGAGAGAAGAGGACAGGAAGACAUGUAGAGGACAAUAAGAGAGAAGAGGACAGGAAGACAUGUAGAGGACAAUAAGAGAGAGGACAGGAAGACUUGUAGAGGACAAUAAGAGAGAGGACAGGAAGACUUGUAGAGGACAAUAAGAGAGAGGACAGGAAGACAUGUAGAGGACAAUAAGAGAGAGGACAGGAAGACAUGUAGAGGACAAUAAGAGAGAAGAGGACAAGAAGACAUGUAGAGGACAAUAAGAGAGAAGAGGACAGGAAGACAUGUAGAGGACAAUAAGAGAGAAGAGGACAGGAAGACAUGUAGAGGACAAUAAG